rnacentral:snRNA from 1 species
GUGCUCUCCUUUCAACUCAUCCACUGAAACACAGCUAGCAUAUACAUUAAAACUGGAACAAGGAGGGGAAGAUUAGCGUGGCCCUUGCACAGGUAUGACAGUCAAAUUGUGAAGUGUGCCAUAAAAAG